UACGGAGGGUGCAAGCGUUAUCCGGAUUCACUGGGUUUAAAGGGUGCGUAGGCGGGUAUGUAAGUCAGCGGUGAAAUCCCCGAGCUUAACUUGGGAACUGCCGUUGAUACUAUAUAUCUUGAAUGUCGUGGAGGUUAGCGGAAUAUGUCAUGGUAGCGGUGAAAUGCUUAGAUAUGACUAGAACACCCAUUGCGAAAGGCAGCUAACUACGCGAAUAUUUGACGCUGAGGCACGAAAGCGUGGGGAUCAAACAGG
rnacentral:rRNA from 1 species